UACGGAGGGGGCCAGCGUUGUUCGGAAUUACUGGGCGUAAAGCGCGCGUAGGCGGCUUUGCAAGUCGGGUGUGAAAUCCCCAGGCUUAACCUGGGAACUGCAUUCGAGACUGCAUUGCUAGAGUAUGGGAGAGGGAAGUGGAAUUUCCGGUGUAGCGGUGAAAUGCGUAGAUAUCGGAAGGAACAUCAGUGGCGAAGGCGGUUCUCUGGGCAUUACCUGACGCUGAGGAGCGAAAGUGUGGGGAGCGAACAGG
rnacentral:rRNA from 1 species